rnacentral:rRNA from 1 species
GAUGAACGCUAGCGAUAGGCUUAACACAUGCAAGUCGAGGGGCAGCAUGGUCUUAGCUUGCUAAGGCUGAUGGCGACCGGCGCACGGGUGCGUAACGCGUAUGCAACUUGCCUCACAGAGGGGGAUAACCCGUCGAAAGACGGACUAAUACCGCGUACACUCUAUGUUGGGCAUCCAAUGUAGAGGAAAUGAAAUUCGCUGUGAGAUAGGCAUGCGUCCCAUUAGCUAGUUGGUGAGGUAACGGCUCACCAAGGCGACGAUGGGUAGGGGAACUGAGAGGUUGAACCCCCACACUGGUUCUGAGACACGGACCAGACUCCUACGGGAGGCAGCAGUGAGGAAUAUUGGUCAAUGGGCGAGAGCCUGAACCAGCCAAGUCGCGUGAAGGAUGGCUGUCUUAUGGAUUGUAAACUUCUUUUAUACGGGAAUAACAAGAGUCACGUGUGGCUCCCUGCAUGUACCGUAUGAAUAAGCAUCGGCUAACUCCGUG